rnacentral:rRNA from 1 species
GGGGUUCUGAGAGGAAGGUCCCCCACAUUGGAACUGAGACACGGUCCAAACUCCUACGGGAGGCAGCAGUGAGGAAUAUUGGUCAAUGGACGUAAGUCUGAACCAGCCAAGUCGCGUGAGGGAAGACUGCCCUAUGGGUUGUAAACCUCUUUUAUAAGGGAAGAAUAAGUUCUACGUGUAGAAUGAUGCCUGUACCUUAUGAAUAAGCAUCGGCUAACUCCGUGCCAGCAGCCGCGGUAAUACGGAGGAUGCGAGCGUUAUCCGGAUUUAUUGGGUUUAAAGGGUGCGUAGGCGGUUUAUUAAGUUAGUGGUUAAAUAUUUGAGCUAAACUCAAUUGUGCCAUUAAUACUGGUAAACUGGAGUACAGACGAGGUAGGCGGAAUAAGUUAAGUAGCGGUGAAAUGCAUAGAUAUAACUUAGAACUCCGAUAGCGAAGGCAGCUUACCAGACUGUAACUGACGCUGAUGCACGAGAGCGUGGGUAGCGAACAGGAUUAGAUACCCUGGUAGUCCACGCCGUAAACGAUGCUCACUGGUUCUGUGCGAUAUAUUGUACGGGAUUAAGCGAAAGUAUUAAGUGAGCCACCUGGGGAGUA